GGGAAACACUGCUAUAGAGCUCAUCGUGAACUGUGGAGAGCCAUACUACCCUUCCUUGGAUAAUCGCACCUUGGUUUGCACUGCUUGUUCAUGCUACUGUGUGAUAAAGAAACGGUACCAAGAAUUGUUUUUAGGAAAGUUAGCUCAAGUGGCAAACAUUUGACUGAUUUGAGAAAUCUCACACACCAAACCAAAGGCAUCGCAACCUAAGUGAGAAGAGGGCAAAGGGCUUCUGUUUACUUGAAAAGAAGAACCACAAGAGCAGAAACUUUUUCUGCAGAGACGAACUAGGAGGUGACACUCAGUGGCAGAGGAAUGAUUUCUAUUUCUAGCACUACCUUAAGGCAACAAAGGAAACGUAAUAGCAACAAUAGUCCAAUUUAAUGAGCAGGCCUACAGAUGAAGCUAUCUGACAUCUAACAGGAAGAACAACCACCAUGAGCUAGUAGACAUCCUAGAGAACAGCUUUUUUCCCACUGCCUGAUGGGCU